CUCUUUUUGAUUAUAAUUUAAAGUAGGGCCUGCCCACUGAAUUUUGAAGGGCCGCAGUAUUUUGACUGUGCAAAGGUAGCAUAAUCAUUAGUUUUUUAAUUGAAAGCUUGUAUGAAUGGUUUGAUGAGAAAAUUUCUGUCUCAAUUUUAAUUUUUUAAAAUUUUAUUUUUAAGUAAAAAAGCUUAGAUUAAUUUAAAAGACGAGAAGACCCUAUAGAGUUUUAUUAAAAAUAUUUUUAUAAAUUUUAGAAUUUAUUUUUUUUAAUAUUAUUUUUAAUUGGGUUGGGGUGACUAAAAAAUUAAUUAAACUUUUUUUUUAUUUUUACAUUGAUUUAUGAUUAAUUGAUCCAUAUAAAUGAUUAAAAGAUUAAAUUACCUUAGGGAUAACAGCGUAAUUUUUUUUUAGAGUUCUUAUUGAAAGAAAAGAUUGCGACCUCGAUGUUGGAUUAAAAUUUAUUUUUGGUGUAGGAGCUAAAAAAUUAGGUCUGUUCGACCUUUAAAAUUUUACA
rnacentral:rRNA from 1 species